UUGGUUUGUUACCGGUGGUUGGCUCUUUGCUUCUGCAACAACUUCCACCUGGCAUUCCUCUUCGUUUUUGCUUCAAGGUUGCAUUUCUUUGAGCGCUUAUGGUUCCUGUUUUGCCUACCUAUGUGACGGUAUCGAAUGAUUAAAUCAAAGUCGUGUUUCAUCAUGUGUCGUUUGUAUGGCGUAGGAUGAACCUCAAAGCAACUUCUAUGAUUCACCUUGUUGAUGCAAUGCAUCGAUGUUGUGGCUCAUUGAGUUUUGCUUGGUUUUCUGGAUACAAAACAUGAUAUGGGUGUUGGUCUUAUGCGAUCCAUUUUUUGCCCUUGUUGAACGUUGUUAUUACUCUGAGAUGACUGUCUAUCCCGAAUUGGCUCGUACCACCGGGGUAGGUUAUGUUGUUGAAGAGCAAUACUAGUGUUCUUGCUUCUCUAAAAUAGACAGCCUCACCUACCAACGGGUGGGCUAUGUCGAAGAGGGAUGCUACCUGGUUGAUCCUGCCAGUAGUCAUAUGCUUGUCUCAA
rnacentral:misc_RNA from 1 species